rnacentral:rRNA from 1 species
UUCUUGAAAAUUAAAAAUUUUGGCGGUAUUUUAGUCUAUUCAGAGGAACCUGUUCUAUAAUUGAUAAUCCACGAUUUAAUUUACUUUUUUUAUUAGUUUGUAUAUCAUCGUAAUUGAAUAUUUUAUAAGAAAUUUAAUAUUCAAAAUUUAAUAUAUUAGAAUAAAUCAGAUCAAGGUGCAGUUUAUAAAAAAGAAGAAAUGGGUUACAAUAAAUGAAUUUAAGGAUUAUUAUUAUUAUAAUGAUAUUAAUUUGGAUUUGAUAGUAAUAUUAAUAAAUUAAUUAAUAUGAUUUUAGCUCUAAAAUAUGCACAUAUCGCCCGUCGCUUUCAUUAUAAUAUGAGAUAAGUCGUAACAAAGUAGAUUUACUGGAAAGUGAAUCUAGAAAGUUCAAAUUAGAGCUUGAUUAAAGUAUUUUAUUUACAUUAAAAUGAUAAUUGUGAAAUUCAAUUUAAUUUGAGAUUAAAAAAUUAUUAUUAUAUAUAUAUAUAUAAUUUUUAAAAUAAGUAAAUUAUACGUUUAAUUAUAAAAAAGAAAAAAUUUAUUUUAUUAUAGUAAAUUAGUAUUGAAAGAGAAAUUUUUAGAUUAAAUUAAACAAAAAUUUAUUUUUUGUACCUUGUGCAUCAGGGUUUAUUAAAAAAAAUUAAAAAUUUAAUUAUUUCGAAGUUAAAAGAGCUAAGAAAAUAUUUUUUUUAUUGUAAAAUAAAUAUGAUAAAUAUUUUUUUAGUAAUGAAAUGUUAUUCGUUUUUAAAUAUAUCUAGUUUUUUAAGAAAUAAAUUUAAUUUAUUUAUUAUAAAUAAAAAUUUUUAUUUAUAAAUUUUUAUUAUUAAUAUUUAAUAUUUUUAGGGAUGAGCUUAAAAAUAAAUUAUUAUUAAUUUAUUUAAUUAAUAAAAUUGUAGGAUUAGAAUUUUUUAUCAAUAAAAAAAUGUUAAAAUUAAUUUAUUUUAUAAUAUUAUUUUUAUAAAUUAUAAAUUAUAUAUUAAAAUAUUAAUUAAAAUUUUAAAAAUUAAGCAAUAAUGAUAAAAUUAGUAUAAAUUUAUGUUAAAUUUAUUUAUUUUUAAGUUUAAAUAAAGGAAUUCGGCAAAAUAUUUUCUACCUGUUUAUUAAAAACAUGUCCUUUUGAUUUUAAUUUAAGGUCUGUCCUGCCCACUGAAAAUUUUAAAUGGCCGUGGUAUUUUGACCGUGCUAAGGUAGCAUAAUCAUUAGUUUUUUAAUUAAAAACUGGAAUGAAGGGGUAGAUAAGAAAAUAACUGUCUCUAUUUAAUUUUAUUAGAAUUUUAUUUUUAAGUUAAAAAGCUUAAAUAUUAUUAAAAGACGAGAAGACCCUAUAGAGUUUAAUUUAAAAUUAAAUUUUUUAUUUUAGAAUUAAU